AGCGAACGCUGGCGGCAGGCCUAACACAUGCAAGUCGAACGAACUCUUCGGAGUUAGUGGCGGACGGGUGAGUAACACGUGGGAACGUGCCUUUAGGUUCGGAAUAACUCAGGGAAACUUGUGCUAAUACCGAAUGUGCCCUUCGGGGGAAAGAUUUAUCGCCUUUAGAGCGGCCCGCGUCUGAUUAGCUAGUUGGUGAGGUAAAGGCUCACCAAGGCGACGAUCAGUAGCUGGUCUGAGAGGAUGAUCAGCCACAUUGGGACUGAGACACGGCCCAAACUCCUACGGGAGGCAGCAGUGGGGAAUCUUGCGCAAUGGGCGAAAGCCUGACGCAGCCAUGCCGCGUGAAUGAUGAAGGUCUUAGGAUUGUAAAAUUCUUUCACCGGGGACGAUAAUGACGGUAC
rnacentral:rRNA from 1 species